rnacentral:sRNA from 1 species
GCCAGGGGUGGUGGCUCACACCUGUAGUCCCAGCUACUUGGGAGGCUGAGGUGGGGGGCUCACUUGAGCCCAGGUGUUUGAGGUUGCAGUGAGCUGUGAUCGUGCCACUGCACUCCAGCCUGGGUGACACAGGGAGAUCCUCUCUCCU